AAUGAACGCUGGCGGCAGGCCUAACACAUGCAAGUCGAACGGAUCCUUCGGGAUUAGUGGCGGACGGGUGAGUAACGCGUGGGAACAUACCCUUUGGUACGGAAUAGCCUCGGGAAACUGGGAGUAAUACCGUAUGUGGUCGAGAGACGAAAGAUUUAUCGCCAAAGGAUUGGCCCGCGUUGGAUUAGGUAGUUGGUGGGGUAAUGGCCUACCAAGCCGACGAUCCAUAGCUGGUUUGAGAGGAUGAUCAGCCACACUGGGACUGAGACACGGCCCAGACUCCUACGGGAGGCAGCAGUUGGGAAUCUUAGACAAUGGGGGAAACCCUGAGCUAGCCAUGCCGCGUGAUCGAUGAAGGCCUUAGGGUUGUAAAGAUCUUUCAGGUGGGAAGAUAAUGACUGUACCACCAGAAGAAGCCCCGGCUAACUCCGUGCCAGCCGCCGCGGUAA
rnacentral:rRNA from 1 species